rnacentral:lncRNA from 1 species
UUAUUCACUGCCAAAUUGAAAUAAUCUUCAGUAUUCCCAAAUGAGACACGCUUGUGCUGAAAAAUUGUUCAUGGCUUAUCUCAAAUUCAAGUUUAACUAGGUGCCCUGUAUUUUAGCUGGCAAGCCUACUUGAGGCCCAUGGUUCCACAUCUUGGGAACGUGGACCCGAGAGAAUGAAGGCGGCAUGUGCAAAGAAGGUGAGAAGAGAGAAAAUGGGACAGUGGAAAGAGAGAGACGGGCAGACAGACACAAGAAAGAGCGACAGAGAAAGGACAAGACAGCAAUAGAGAAUGAGUGAAUGAGAGAGAGACAGGGAGGGAGGGGGAGUCUGCUAGAGACAAAACAAGACAAAGAGAAAGAGCCACAGGUAGACCAACAGACACGCUCGAGAGCAUUCAAGGCCUGCGGUUCAGUGAUCCAAGGUCAGCCCCAUGCAUUCCUUCUGUACUUCGUUUGUUUACAGGCACCAAUAAAUUCCCCCUUCACUUCAACAUAAUAGCCACCCUUUCUUGAGCACUUGUGUGCUCCAGGCACUGGGCCAAGCACUUUGGAUGCACGAUCUCAUUUAUGUUGUUACAUCACAAUGGUUCUAUGAAGGUGUUAGGAAGAACUGAGGAACAGAGAAGUUCAAUAAUGUGCUCAAGGUCACACAGCCUGGAAGCAGCAGAGCUGUGGUUUGAACCCAGGCUGUCAGAUGCCAGAGUGCUGGACCACUAUGUGGAGUCACUGUCAUUCAUAACCAAGGAGGUCCUGAGUGGCACUCCAGUAGAGCAGAUUCAGCAGAAAGACCGGCUCACUGCUGGACUGCUGACCCCAGACCCUUGAGAGGCUGGAUGGCAUCCUAUGUGGGCUUGGGAGUCAGACCAAGCAGGAUCGAAUCCAACUUCUUACCUAUGGUGUGACUUUGGGGAAGUUCUUCACCUUCUCUGAGCCUCAGCUUCCUCUUCUGUAAAAUGGAGUUGAUAAUAAUAGUAGCUACAUCAUAGGGUUGAUAUGGGAACUUAAUUAAUUAAUGUGUAUGCACACACGCACGCAAAAAGCAGUUAGAUCGGGUAAGCAUUUAAGAAAUAUUUACAGAUAUUUUUAUUGUAUUCUGCUCAUCUCUGAUGCCCAGCAAGGCAUCAGAUUUGGCACAAAGGAAGUGCCCAUGGUACCUGGGUGGGUGAUGAUAAGACUGGACAAUAUUAACGAGAAUCCCAAUGACCAUUUAUCAACACCUACUGUGGACCAGGCAUUGUGCUGAGCACCUUGCACAUGGCUUCUCAGUCAACCCCCACAGCAACCCUGCCACGAUGGUAUUGCUAUCCCCCAUUUACAGACGAGAAAACAGGCUCCAAGAAGUCACGGGACAGAAAGGCUGCAGAGAGGGGGUCAGAGCUGGGAUCUCGAUCCCAGUUCAUGAAGAGAGGACACAGAUCUGUGUGUGUUUGCGUUAAUGACAAUGGGAAGCAGACGCAUUGCGCUGAGAUGUUUUCCUGUGCACUGAGUUUUGAGUGCUUCCCAUUCUCUUCACAAGUUCCUUCACGUCCCUCGCAGAUGGCCCAUGAGCACGCCUCUCCGUGCACUGUUAUCUCACAAGAGGGGCGGAGACCCACUUUAUGAAGGAGGCACAGAGAGGUUCAGGACUUCCCGAGGGCCACACUGGUGUCAGGAAUAGAGUAAGUUCUGAACCCAGCUUCAUGAGACUCCCAGUCCAGUCUCUGUCCCCUGUCCCCAAACUCUGACCCACAGAGAACCCCACAGAGCAUGACAUCCUUCAGAUCUCCCAAAGACACCCACUCUUCACCAUCCCCACUAACAGUGAACACACCCGUUGGGGCUCCGUGAGCACUCACCUGUCAUCUUGCAACAGCCUCCGACUGCAUCUGCUGUCUCCGGGUCCUCUCGCCUUCCCUAGGUUCUUCACAAGGCCCCCACCAGGUCAGCUUUCAGAAACACAGAUCUGAACCCAGGGCUCUUGACCAUGGCUUCAUGGUCUGGCCCCUGUUCAUCCCUCUGCCUCCUGGACUCUGCACGCUGACUGAUAAACCUUCCACAUGGCUCUCUCUGGCCUCCUUUGCACUUGCUCUUUCAUCUGGGUGGUACCACCUUCCUCACUCCUCCUUCAUCCCUGCUAAGUCAUCCAUUAAGUGUCAGUGACAUGUCACUUCCUCACGGAAGCCUUCCUUGCUUGGUUCAGGUGCUCUUCUUGGAUGUACCUCUGCUCAGAUCCUUCUCCCUCUCUGUUGAAAUCACCUUUUUACUCUCCCACUGAGUCAGCUCCACGAGGGCAGGGCCUGUGGCUGCCUGUUCACACUGCAUCCCCAGGGCCUGGCACAGUGUCUGGUACCUGGUAGGUGCUCAGUGAAAGGCUGGUGGAGGAAUGAGGGUUCCCUGAGGACAUUAUGCUUUAUUAAACUAAGCACCAGGCUCCGUUUGCUGGCACACAGUAGGCUCCCAUUACAUUGUCUGUUGAAGGGAUGAUGGAUGAAUAAAUGAAUACACAAACGCCAUGGCUCAACGCCUCCCCCCUCUGAUUUGUCCACCUCUCAGCUGCAGCAGUCUCUUGCAGAGUAAAAGGGAUCCCAGCUCCUUGUUUGAAUGCUGUGGGGUUUCGAGUAGAAAAAGAAAUACUGCUCCUUCAACGAGAAGAGUUUCAGCCAGAGUGUCCCUGUAGCAUCUCCCUCUGCCACAACUGAUGCAGCACUGCGGCCGUCCCCUCUGUCGCUGGUAGACAGGCAGAUCAUCAACGCCCACGCAGCCCCAGCUGGCGCUCUGCAGAGCCCAUGAAGCUGUUUGGCCUCGGGCCAGGAUGGGCCUACAAAGCCAGAAGCAUCUGAUGUGGCAUGUCUGACGCACCUCCUAAGCCAGCCGCUGGCUGCUCCUGUCCCUGUUUACUCCUCUGGCACUGGCUUCUAAGGCAGGGGCGGGAGCUGGAGGGAGAGACAGCGUUAGAUUUCCCAGGAAGAAAAGGAUUCCAUGACUCUAAGAAGUCCUAAAACCAAUGAUCUAUCCAGCAGUCAUUCUCAAAGCUGCCUGUGCAUCGGGAUCAACUGGGUGACUUGUCCUCUCCCAUAGCCAGUAAGGCUGAAGAAGUCCUGAAGAAGUGCUGGACUUGCCCUUCAACAUCCAGAGGUGCCCUUCCAGGCUCUACUUCCCUCGUCCUCUGCUGGGCUGCCACCAGUUCACCGGGUUGCUGGGAGGACUGAUAACAGCAUGUGUGGUGGUUGACAUGUGCUGUUGUCUGCCCAUCACCCAUUUCCCCUGCAUCUAAUUACAGAAUGCCCCUUGUCCCUUAGGCACCCACCCUUUCCCACUCUCAAGUCAUGUGGUAUAAGCAACACUAACCCUCAUGGUACCCCCAAUUCUAAUGGGGUCUCUUCCCCUGCAUCCUGGGGUGUGUGACUUGGGCCUGUUCAAUCUCUGUGUUCCAUGCCUCUUGCCACAAGACUUGAUUUGAGAUGGACAACAAACCCAGUCUAUUCUAUAAGAGUCAAUUCCUGGACCUUGGGCUCAAACUCUUGGGGGAGAGAAAUUCUGUUUCUAGUAGGGUUGUCGAGCUGCAAGAUUUGAGUCUGGAGCUUUCAACAACCAUUUUGCAGCUUCCUAGGGGAAAGCUAGUCUGAGAAUGAAGUUAGCACAGAGCCAAGGGACCAAGACACAGAGACCCUAAGCUGCUGGAUCCAACUGGGCCUGAUGCCAGACAACCCUGUACAUCUCAGUCACAUGAACCAAUAAAUUUUCCUUUCUUGGUCAACCUGAUCUGAGUUGACAUUCUGCUCC